CAGUAGCCGCGGUAAUACAGAGGAUGCAAGCGUUAUCCGGAAUGAUUGGGCAUAUAGUGUCUGUAGGUGGCUUUUCAAGUCCGCCGUCAAAUCCCAGGGCUCAACCGUGGACAGGCGGUGGAAACUACCAAGCUGGAGUAUGGUAGGGGCAGAGGGAAUUUCCGGUGGAGCGGUGAAAUGCGUUGAGAUCGGAAAGAACACCAACAGCGAAAUCACUCUGCUAGGCCGACACUGACACUGAGAGACGAAAUCUAGGGGAGCAAAUGGGAUUAGAUACCCCCGUAGUCCCUGUCUCUUAUAC
rnacentral:rRNA from 1 species